GGGUCUCGCUCGUUACCUGACUUAACAGGAUGCUUCACAGUACGAACUGACGACGGCCAUGCACCACCUCUCAGCUAAUCCGGCAAAGUCUUCAGCCUGGCCUUCAUAUUGCUGUCGGUCCCGGUAAGAUUUCCGGCGUUGAAUCCAAUUAAACCGCAAGCUCCACCCGUUGUGGUGCUCCCCCGCCAAUUCCUUUAAGUUUCAGCCUUGCGGCCGUACUUCCCAGGUGGCUCGCUUCACGGCUUCCCUGCGGCACCAAACACGGUCGCACCGUGCCUGACACCUAGCGAGCAUAGUUUACAGCUGGGACUACCCGGGUAUCUAAUCCGGUUCGUGCCCCCAGCUUUCGUCCCUUGCCGUCAGGUCCGUUCUGGUGAGACGCCUUCGCCACUGGUGGUCCUUCAAGGAUUACAAGAUUUCACCCCUACCCCUGAAGUACCUCUCACCUCUCCCGGCCUCGAGCCAGACAGUAUCUCCUGAAAGCCUGACAGUUAAGCUGCCAGAUUUCUCAAGAGACUUAUCCGGCCGGCUACAGACCCUUUAGACCCAAUAAUAACGGUUACCACUCGAGCCGCCGGUGUUACCGCGGCGGCUGGCACCGGUCUUGCCCGGCCCUUGCUAUGAAAUGCUUUUUAGGCAUCUCGACACCAGAUUUGUAACCUGGCACUCGAGGUUCCCUUAUCGCUGUUGCCAGCAUUGUAAAGUUUUCGCGCCUGCUGCACCCCGUAGGGCCUGGAUUCGUGUCUCAGAAUCCAUCUCCGGGCUCUUGCUCUCACAACCCGUACCCGUCGUAGGCUAGUAGGUACGCUACACCCACUACUACCUGAUAGGCCGCAGACCCAUCCUUAGGCGCCGGAGCUUUAAAUCUCGAUGCAUUCCAGCAAUCGAGACCUAUCGGGUAUUAUACCCAGUUUCCCGGGUUUAUACCCAACCUAAGGGCAGGUUGUCCACGUGUUACUGAGCAGUUCGCCAUGUAUUGCUACAUUCGACUCGCAUGGCUUAGUCGAACCUCGAUAGCAGUAACCUCUGGCAGGAUCAACCGGA
rnacentral:rRNA from 1 species